UAAAAUUUCUCAAAAACAUCAGGUGCAGAAACAUGCAAUCAAAGGGAGAAUGAGAACAAGAUUGUUAAUUUAAUUGUAACUUGUUCAUUGACAGAAACAUGAAUGCUGGAGUAAAUUGCAUUUGCUGUCUGUGAGCAGCCAGAGCUGACGUAAUUUGUUCACAUUAUUCCAAAAAAGUUACUCUGUUUAUAUAUACAAAGACGUGUAAAGUAUAACUUUCUCAUGCAUGCAUUUAUUCUUUACCCAAAAGAGAUCCCUGCACACAUAUCUAUAAUGAUUGUUCAUCAGUGCAGA
rnacentral:misc_RNA from 1 species